CAACUUAGUGAGCUCUUAAGCAAUUUAGCAAGACCCUGUCUCCAACUAAAGUAUAAAAAAGAGAGCUAGCUAGGCACCCUGGGCCCAAUCCCUGGUACCAAAACAAAGAUGGAUUGGAAUGUAUCCCAUCCCAGAGCUAGAUGCAAAGUAAUCAUUAAUAACCCCCUAGUGCAGACACAGACCUGUACAUGUACCCAUGUAGCAACCAUGAGGGAUGACAUAGAAAGAUUGGCCUGGGAUUCAAGAGACCCUCAGUGUUGGUCUGAGUACCACCACUAGCUUCAUGUGAGGCCUGAUUACAGAAUCACUAUAAAAGAAACUGGAAGAAAUCAUAGUUUACACCUGGAAUCUUAAAGUAGGAUGGACAGGGUUCCUUCCCAAAGCAGAUAAAGCAUAUGAAGAAGAAACCCCUUCCCUGACAGCAGCCCUGCCAGAUGAGCUGUUCUACUCUACCCUGCCCUGCGUGCCACACAGUGACUACUGUUAAACACAUUAGGAAAAAAAUCUCUCUCCCCCAACCUAACAGCCUCAUCUACUCUGCCCUGUUUUAAUUCCAGCAUUACAAAGAAAGUCAUUUUCUGACACUCCCCAGUUCACUGUCCAUACAUGGUGCUUCAUCAGUCUGGGAAUGUCAAUCACUUCUUAAACUGGCCAACUCUACAGCACAGUGACUACAAUGGCCACUAGGUGGAGAAUGCUCCUUGGCUGUAGGGCAAGGUACACCUGCUUUAGGACCUAGAGGUUCGAUUUAAUGCCCAAGAGAAUAGGGAGACUUUUUUUGAACCUCUGUAUUUGAUAUUUCAUUUAAUCCUCAAGACAAGUGGAAAACUUUUGAUUUCACAGGAUGAAGUGGGAGACAAAGUCUUGACAAAGCUUUUGCAUCUAAGUAGACUUGGAGAUGUUUGACCCCAUUCUUUCUUUAAAUGUCUGCUGUCACCACUUUCCAAGGAUGCCUUGCCCUUCCCCUAGGACAUUUUCC
rnacentral:lncRNA from 1 species